AGAGGGAAAAGGAGCAAUCCGCUUUGAGAUGGCCUCGCGUCCGAUUAGCUAGUUGGUGAGGUAACGGCCCACCAAGGCGACGAUCGGUAGCCGGACUGAGAGGUUGAACGGCCACAUUGGGACUGAGACACGGCCCAGACUCCUACGGGAGGCAGCAGUGGGGAAUAUUGCACAAUGGGGGAAACCCUGAUGCAGCGACGCCGCGUGGAGGAAGAAGGUCUUCGGAUUGUAAACUCCUGUUGUUGGGGAAGAUAAUGACGGUACCCAACAAGGAAGUGACGGCUAACUACGUGCCAGCAGCCGCGGUAAAACGUAGGUCACAAGCGUUGUCCGGAAUUACUGGGUGUAAAGGGAGCGCAGGCGGGAAGACAAGUUGGAAGUGAAAUCUAUGGGCUCAACCCAUAAACUGCUUUCAAAACUGUUUUUCUUGAGUAGUGCAGAGGUAGGCGGAAUUCCCGGUGUAGCGGUGGAAUGCGUAGAUAUCGGGAGGAACACCAGUGGCGAAGGCGGCCUACUGGGCACCAACUGACGCUGAGGCUCGAAAGUGUGGGUAGCAAACAGGAUUAGAUACCCUGGUAGUCCACACCGUAAACGAUGAUUACUAGGUGUUGGAGGAUUGACCCCUUCAGUGCCGCAGUUAACACAAUAAGUAAUCCACCUGGGGAGUACGACCGCAAGGUUGAAACUCAAAGGAAUUGACGGGGGCCCGCACAAGCAGUGGAGUAUGUGGUUUAAUUCGACGCAACGCGAAGAACCUUACCAAGUCUUGACAUCCCUUGACAGACAUAGAAAUAUGUAAUCUCUUCGGAGCAAGGAGACAGGUGGUGCAUGGUUGUCGUCAGCUCGUGUCGUGAGAUGUUGGGUUAAGUCCCGCAACGAGCGCAACCCUUAUGGUCAGUUACUACGCAAGAGGACUCUGGCCAGACUGCCGUUGACAAAACGGAGGAAGGUGGGGAUGACGUCAAAUCAUCAUGCCCUUUAUGACUUGGGCUACACACGUACUACAAUGGCGUUAAACAAAGAGAAGCAAGACCGCGAGGUGGAGCAAAACUCAGAAACAACGUCCCAGUUCGGACUGCAGGCUGCAACUCGCCUGCACGAAGUCGGAAUUGCUAGUAAUCGUGGAUCAGCAUGCCACGGUGAAUACGUUCCCGGGCCUUGUACACACCGCCCGUCACACCAUGAGAGCCGGGGGGACCCGAAGUCGGUAGUCUAACCGCAAGGAGGACGCCGCCGAAGGUAAAACUGGUGAUUGGGGUGAAGUCGUAACAAGGUAGCCGUAGGAGAACCUGCGGCUG
rnacentral:rRNA from 1 species